rnacentral:rRNA from 1 species
CGUUAACCGGAAAUGUGGUUUAUUCGAAGCACGCGAAGAACCUUACCAGGUCUUGACAUCCCACUGACCGCUCUAGAGAUAGAGCUUCCCUUCGGGGCAGUGGUGACAGGUGGUGCAUGGUUGUCGUCAGCUCGUGUCGUGAGAUGUUGGGUUAAGUCCCGCAACGAGCGCAACCCUUAUCUUUAGUUGCCAGCAUUCAGUUGGGCACUCUAGAGAGACUGCCGUCGACAAGACGGAGGAAGGCGGGGAUGACGUCAAAUCAUCAUGCCCCUUAUGACCUGGGCUACACACGUGCUACAAUGGUUGGUACAACGGGAUGCUACUUCGCGAGAAGAUGCUAAUCUCUUAAAACCAAUCUCAGUUCGGAUUGUAGGCUGCAACUCGCCUACAUGAAGUCGGAAUCGCUAGUAAUCGCGGAUCAGCAUGCCGCGGUGAAUACGUUCCCGGGCCUUGUACACACCCGCCCCAUGAA